UGGGGAAUAUUGCACAAUGGGCGCAAGCCUGAUGCAGCCAUGCCGCGUGUGUGAAGAAGGCCUUCGGGUUGUAAAGUACUUUCAGCGGGGAGGAAGGGAGUAAAGUUAAUACCUUUGCUCAUUGACGUUACCCGCAGAAGAAGCACCGGCUACUCCGUGCCAGCAGCCGCGGUAAUACGGAGGGUGCAAGCGUUAAUCGGAAUUACUGGGCGUAAAGCGCACGCAGGCGGUUUGUUAAGUCAGAUGUGAAAUCCCCGGGCUCAACCUGGGAACUGCAUUCGAAACUGGCAGGCUAGAGUCUUGUAGAGGGGGGUAGAAUUCCAGGUGUAGCGGUGAAAUGCGUAGAGAUCUGGAGGAAUACCGGUGGCGAAGGCGGCCCCCUGGACAAAGACUGACGCUCAGGUGCGAAAGCGUGGGGAGCAAACAGG
rnacentral:rRNA from 1 species